UCGUUCUGAACUUCUGCACUUUUGUGGCAUCGCAUCCACACAUGACUGUCCACAUUUACACAUCAGAACUGGAUGAUCAGAUACUUCGUCAGGACAUACAUAGUGAUGUAAUAAGGAGAAAGCAGGAUAAAUGCUAUUAUUUCUAAGCCUUAGGGCACGUAUUACAGAAAGUUAAGUCUCAAAUUAAGACCUAACAAGCUUGAAACAGAAAUCACCAUGACUACUAAACAGAUAGGACUCUAUAAUGGAUGUUUUUGUAAUAUGGUCCCAGAAGAACCAACGAUAAGAGUAAAAUGUGGGUAAGUGUGUAAAACUGCUUCUCAUACAACAUGGGAUGUUUUUCAAUGGCAAAACAACAAAAGAAGGUUAAGGAGUAUUUUUGCGGGUCAGAGAGAGUAUAAAGAUUGAGAAAAACUAAAGAACUUCUGUAACAAUAUAUUACACGACCCAUUUACUGCCAGUUUUCCUUGACUGAAUGUCGCAUUUAAGAAACACAAUUUGUCUGUUCACAGGAGGAAAAGCAUCAUUCCAUGCUUAUCACAUCGUAUGUCAAACAGAUACUGCAGUCAACCGAGAAUAACAAUGAAUCAAGCAAGCAUGAGAUGAGACAAACUUCAGCAAUUACUCUGGCAAUCUUCUUUCUAUAAAGCCGAUGUCAUAUAUGAGAGCAAUUUUGCUCGGGAAGUCUGGUAAACACAAAAAGGCCCUGCAGGUUUUGUACCAUGAAGAAAAAGAUCAUCAGGCUGCUGAAAGCUACUGUUGGAGGACCUCUGCUGGACGAGACAGGAAGUUCACACAGGGAAUGCUUCUCUCCCUGCUUCAAAUCUAUCCUCACAACUGCACAAGUCAAUACUACACCACAAUACAGCUGGGAUGAUACUGGACAGACUACCACAUAUUAUAAUCUAAAAAGUAGAUUCAGAAUUGUAAGGG